rnacentral:tRNA from 1 species
GGGCGAUUAGCUCAGGGGAUAGAGUGCUGGCCUCCGAAGCCAGAGGUCGCGGGUUCGAAUCCCGCAUCGCCCGCCA